rnacentral:rRNA from 1 species
UACAGAGGUCUCAAGCGUUGUUCGGAUUCAUUGGGCGUAAAGGGUGCGUAGGCGGCGCGGUAAGUCGGGUGUGAAAUCUCGGAGCUUAACUCCGAAACUGCAUUCGAUACUGCCGUGCUUGAGGACUGGAGAGGAGACUGGAAAUUUACGGUGUAGCGGUGAAAAUGCGUAGAUAUCGUAAGGAAGACCAGUGGCGAAGGCGGGGUCUCUG